GUUUUAGGGACCCCCCCCGGGUGAUUUUGGGGUCUCCCUGUUCUCUUUCAGGGACGUGGCCUGGCUGGGGGACUGUGACAGUGGGUGCCUGGCUCUGGCCGAGCUGCUGGGCUGGAAGGAGGAGCUGGAGGAGCUGGUGAGGAGGGAACACGCCGCCAUCGACGCCGGGGGGGGCAACAAGGAUCGGGAGGAUCCUGAAAACCCUCGGGGGCACAAGGAAAAGGGGGACCCCAAACAGCGUCAGGGGCACAAGGACGAGGCUCAGAGGGACCCUGAAAAGCCCCAGGGGGGCAGCGAGAAACCCCCCCAGAGCAAGGGGGACACACCCCAAAAAUAAAUGGUCUGAAAAGAG